AGAGAGAGACAUGCGCGCAUAUCAAUAAGCGGAGGAAAAGAAACUAACAAGGAUUCCCUUAGUAACGGCGAGUGAAGCGGGAAGAGCUCAAAUUUGAAAUCUUCAAGGUUCUACCUUGACGAAUUGUAGUUUAUAGAAGUGUUUUCUGUUAGUGGAGUGGCAAAAGUUCUUUGGAAUAGGACAUCAUAGAGGGUGAGAAUCCCGUAUUUGGUCAUUCCUCCUAGCGUUGUGAUACACUUUCAACGAGUCGGAUUGUUUGGGAAUGCAGUCCAAAAUGGGUGGUAAAUUUCAUCUAAAGCUAAAUAUUGGCGUAGAGACCGAUAGCGAACAAGUACCGUGAGGGAAAGAUGAAAAAGAACUUUGAAAAGAGAGUUAAACAGUACGUGAAAUUGUCAAAAGGGAAGCGUUUGACACCAGUGUUGUUUUUUCCGAAAAUCAAUUACGAAUGUUUUAUUUUUGAGGAGUUAUGACUUCAUCGGCUUGCUCCUUUCUUUAUGAAACUUUCUUAAUGCACUUUUCGGUUAACAAGUCAACAUCAAUUUCUUUUGUUGUAAAAGGGUAUGAGGAAGGUGGCUUUCUUUUCGGAGAAAGUGUUUAUAGCCUUGUGCCUCUGCAAUCGGAGAGAUUGAGGUCUGCAGCGUAGAUCCUUCGGGGUUAGAUACGUUUGUGCUAAGUUAUAGCUUUUCAUAGACAACUUGUUGACUAUGUUUAGUCUUGUAGCUUACUCGCUGACGCUAUUUUACCUACGCUUAGGAUGUUGAUAGUCACAGCGUGUAC
rnacentral:rRNA from 1 species